AAUCGAACCCGGAGAUAGCUGGUUCUCCUCGAAAUAGCUUUAGGGCUAGCCUCAUAUUAGUUUACCGCAGGUAGAGCACUGAAUUUCCUAGGGGGCGUCAAAGCUUACCGAAGAAUAUCAAACUCCGAAUGCCAGUAAGAUGAUGAAUAGGAGUCAGACUACACGAGAUAAGUUGGGUAGUCAAAAGGGAAACAGCCCAGACCUACAGCUAAGGUCCCAAAGUACGUGUUAAGUGGAAAAGGAUGUGGGAUUUCAUAGACAACUAGGAUGUUGGCUCAGAAGCAGCCACACAUUCAAAGAGUGCGUAAUAGCUCACUAGUCGAGAGGUUCUGCGCCGAAAAUGUCCGGGGCUGAAACACGACACCGAAGCUUAGGAAUGUAGUAAUACAUUGGUAGAGGAGCAUUGUUAAAGCAUUGAAGCUGUACCGAUAAGGAGCAGUGGAGUUUUAAGAAGAGAGAAUGCCGGAAUGAGUAGCGAGAGUGAGGUGAGAAUCCUCACGGCCGAAUAUCCAAGGAUUCCAGGGUAAAGCUGAUCUGCCCUGGGUAAGUCGGGACCUAAGGAGAGGCCGAAAGGCGUAUCCGAUGGACAGCAGGUAGAUAUUCCUGCACUGCAUGAUAACAGAACUGUGGGGACGCAGAAGGAUAGACAGAGCCGGAAAUGGAAUAGCCGGUACAAGCUAAAGAGGAGUAUGGUAGGCAAAUCCGCCAUACAAUCCAAAGUAGUGAUGUGGAGCGAACUAAAAGUAGCGAAGCUGUCAAUUCAGACUGCCGAGAAAAGCCGCUAUUGUUUAUCAUGUACCCGUACCCUAAACCGACACAGGUGGAUGAGGAGAGAAUCCUAAGGCCGGCGGGAGAAGCAUUGUUAAGGAACUCGGCAAAAUAACCCCGUAACUUCGGGAGAAGGGGUGCCCACUUUGGUGGGCCGCAGUGAAUAGGCUCAAGCAACUGUUUAGCAAAAACACAGGUCUAUGCGAAACCGAAAGGUGAUGUAUAUGGGCUGACGCCUGCCCGGUGCUGGAAGGUUAAGAGGAGAUGUCAGGCAACGAAGCAUUGAAUUCAAGCCCCAGUAAACGGCGGCCGUAACUAUAACGGUCCUAAGGUAGCGAAAUUCCUUGUCGGGUAAGUUCCGACCCGCACGAAAGGCGUAAUGAUUUGAGCACUGUCUCGACAAUGCACCCGGUGAAAUUGAAGUGCCAGUGAAGAUGCUGGCUACCUGCGCCAGGACGGAAAGACCCCAUGGAGCUUUACUCUAGCUUGAUACUGGGAUUCGAUGUUUAAUGUACAGGAUAGGUGGGAGACUGUGAGAUAGUGGCGUCAGCUGCUAAGGAGUCGCUGUUGGGAUACCACCCUUUGAACAUUGGAUUUCUAACCCGAGGCCGUUAACCGGUCCGGGGACACUGUCUGGUGGGGAGUUUGACUGGGGCGGUCGCCUCCGAAAGGGUAUCGGAGGCGCUCAAAGGUUCCCUCAGAAUGGUCGGAAACCAUUCAAAGAGUGCAAAGGCAUAAGGGAGCUUGACUGCGACACCGACGGGUGGAGCAGGUAGGAAACUAGGACUUAGUGAUCCGGUGGUAUAAAGUGGGAUUGCCAUCGCUCAACGGAUAAAAGCUACCCUGGGGAUAACAGGCUUAUCACUCCCAAGAGUUCACAUCGACGGAGUGGUUUGGCACCUCGAUGUCGGCUCAUCGCAUCCUGGGGCUGUAGCAGGUCCCAA
rnacentral:rRNA from 1 species